ensembl:lncRNA
GGAAAAGAGAGUUCUGUUUACAGUAGGCUGCUGACGUCAGAGUCAGCUGUGGGCUCAGGCACUGUGUGCGUGUGUGUGUGUGUGUGUGUGUGUGUGUCUGUGUGUGCGUGUGUGCGCGCGCGCUGAAUGAUUCAGCGCAGUACAGCAGCAGCAACGGGAGUAACCGUAGCGGAGGACCGUAGCAGCGGUAAUAAAGCCUCGUUUAACCGGGGAGAAGGACCGUAGCAACGGUAAUAAAGCCUCGUUUAACCGGGGAGAAGGACCAUAGCGGCGGGAAUAAAGCCUCGUUUAACCGGGGAGAAGGACCGGAUAGAAGGACCGUAGGACCCGGUUUUCAUUGAAUAUCACGGUGUGUGUGAACGGGCUGACUGAAUUAGUAGCAUUAGGAAAGUUCAUCCUUUACACCUGAACUUCCGCCCGGAGACAGGCUGUCAAUCAUUCCAAUGGUCAUCUUAUCUCACAAGGGAAUGCAAAGUAGGGCUUAUCUUUGUGAAAUGGGCCCAGAAUGUCCCCCUAUGUGCUGCUGGAAAAUAACACAGGCAAGCAUUUAUAAUGGAUCAAGCACUUGCAUAAGGUGGAUAUAAUGGCCCUUUUCCACCGACAGUACCAGCUGAACUCGCCUCGACUUAGCCCGCCUUUUUUUGCGUUUCGAUCACCAAAAUGAGGUACCUGGUACGUUGUACUUUUUUUUUUGUCUCAUCUCCGAGGUUCCAAGAGAGCUGAUCUGAUACUUUUGUGUGACGCAAACUAGCUGCUGGCCACUGAUUGGCCAGAGAAAGACGCUACUGGACGAGUCAUGAUGAGCGAGAUGUCGGAGCCUGACACUCGACACCCGGCAUCUUUAAAUAAUAACAUCAGUGUUCAGUCAACAAUAGUGAUUGAUUAUUGAACAUGGCAGGAUCAGCAUGCAAGAACACUCCAUGGACCGUGAAUAUUUUAGCAUUCACCAUUGCAACAAAGCCAAUAAUAACCAAAAACAUUGUCUGUAAUUUGUAAAAUGAAAUCACAAUCUACAAAUAAUCCAGACAAAAAACGCAUAGAAAUGAUCUAUCACAUUGCCAUUGUGUAAGGAGACUGGUGUGGGUCAUUGAGAGCCAGAUGGAUCCAUGUAGUCUGUCUAUUGCUUAAGGAUCCCAUAUCAUGUUUUAAGGGUUAAUAGGGUUAAUGAGAGACUAUAAAAGACGACUCAGGUAUUUGCAGGCAUUUUGAGAUAAUUAGCUGUUUGGGUGUGACACCUUGAGUCUACAAUUUAGAUAUUUUUUUCGCAUUAUUCAAAUUGUCUGAGAUAUUGUAUUGUGUAUUUGGGGUUUUCAUGAGCUGUAAGCCCCAUCAUCGAGAUUAAUACAAAUAAAGGCUUGCAAUAUUUCACUUUGGGUGUAAUGAAUCUAUAUAGUAUAUGAGUUUCACUAAGUACAUUUUCCACAAUAUUCAUAUUCACUGAGAUGCACCUGUAUGAGGUGAAAUGUAGGGUUGGAGUGGUUACAAUGACUUAUACCACAAUUAAAAUCUUGUUAUUCCGUGUUUGACAACUGUUCAAUACAUUUUAAAUAAAGCAGUUUUUUCCAAGUUCUGAGUGUUCUUGAAAGCAGUAGAACUGAACUCCCUACCCUGACUCAAUGGAUAUGCAAAGCAGAC